GACGAACGCUGGCGGCGUGCCUAAUACAUGCAAGUUGAGCGCUGAAGGUUGGUACUUGUACCAACUGGAUGAGCAGCGAACGGGUGAGUAACGCGUGGGGAAUCUGCCUUUGAGCGGGGGACAACAUUUGGAAACGAAUGCUAAUACCGCAUAAAAACUUUAAACACAAGUUUUAAGUUUGAAAGAUGCAAUUACAUCACUCAAAGAUGAUCCCGCGUUGUAUUAGCUAGUUGGUGAGGUAAAGGCUCACCAAGGCGAUGAUACAUAGCCGACCUGAGAGGGUGAUCGGCCACAUUGGGACUGAGACACGGCCCAAACUCCUACGGGAGGCAGCAGUAGGGAAUCUUCGGCAAUAGACGAAAGUCUGACCGAGCAACGCCGCGUGAGUGAAGAAGGUUUUCGGAUCGUAAAACUCUGUUGGUAGAGAAGAACGUUGGUGAGAGUGGAAAGCUCAUCAAGUGACGGUAACUACCCAGAAAGGGACGGCUAACUACGUG
rnacentral:rRNA from 1 species